UUCCUACACUCUUUUGGAAAAAGAUGGUGGAUAAAUGGAUGGAUGGAGAUUAGGGGGAUGGUACUAGUAGAGAUGAAGAGGACAACUCAAUCAAUAACACGAGGGAGGUUGAAAACAGCUUGGAGGGUAACUCAGAGGAAGACUAGUAUAAAUCUUGUCAUAAUUCUAGUUGUUUAAGUUUAAAAGAAGGUUUAAUUUCAAGAUUUCUUUGUAUAUUCUAUAUUUUAAAGUUUGAACUUAUAUGAAUUUUUAUCUUUCAAUU